rnacentral:rRNA from 1 species
GAACGCUGGCGGCGUGCCUAAUACAUGCAAGUCGAGCGAACAGACGAGGAGCUUGCUCCUCUGACGUUAGCGGCGGACGGGUGAGUAACACGUGGAUAACCUACCUAUAAGACUGGGAUAACUUCUUGAAACCGGAGCUAAUACCGGAUAAUAUAUUGAACCGCAUGGUUCAAUAGUGAAAGACGGUUUUGCUGUCACUUAUAGAUGGAUCCGCGCCGCAUUAGCUAGUUGGUAAGGUAACGGCUUACCAAGGCGACGAUGCGUAGCCGACCUGAGAGGGUGAUCGGCCACACUGGAACUGAGACACGGUCCAGACUCCUACGGGAGGCAGCAGUAGGGAAUCUUCCGCAAUGGGCGAAAGCCUGACGGAGCAACGCCGCGUGAGUGAUGAAGGUCUUCGGAUCGUAAAACUCUGUUAUUAGGGAAGAACAAAUGUGUAAGUAACUAUGCAAGUCUUGACGGUACCUAAUCAGAAAGCCACGGCUAACUACGUG